rnacentral:rRNA from 1 species
UACGUAGGGUGCAAGCGUUGUCCGGAAUUAUUGGGCGUAAAGGGUGCGUAGGCGGCGCGGUAAGUCGGGUGUGAAAUCUCGGAGCUUAACUCCGAAACUGCAUUCGAUACUGCCGUGCUUGAGGACUGGAGAGGAGACUGGAAUUUACGGUGUAGCGGUGAAAUGCGUAGAUAUCGUAAGGAAGACCAGUGGCGAAGGCGGGUCUCUGGACAGUUCCUGACGCUGAGGCACGAAGGUCAGGGGAGCAAGCGGG